rnacentral:lncRNA from 10 species
CUGGCUCAUAAUAAUAAAAGCUUCUACUUACAUAGCAUUACUUUGUUCCAGGCAAUUUUCUAAGUGUGUUAUAUAUAUUAACUCACUCCAUCUUCACAACCACUCUGAAUAGAAGCUGUUGUUAUCUGUGUUUUGCAGGUGGAAAAUGAAGCACAGAGAAGUUCAGUGAUGGACCUCAGAUACUACCAGCAGAAAGCAGAAGAGCUAGGAUUUCAACUUAGGAUGUCUGGAUCCACAGUCUGCACUCCUACCCACUAUGCUACACUGCCUCUAACUAUGAGGAAGCAAGGGCAUUUUUUUUUUUCUGGUGACUAAAAAGAUAAGAGUUCAAGUAUGUGGCUCCUGAUAAUCUAACUUAUACAGCCUGGAAAAAUUGAUAGUUACUAUAUCCAGACUGUCUCAUUCAAUUAACAGUUUCUCAAGUAAUCUUCUAGUUACUGUCGUAUUUUAUCUGUAUCAACUUAGCAAACCAAGUCCAAAACAUUUUAUAUGUGUCUAUCUUUCCUGCUGUUCAUAUUAUUGAGUUAGCCAAAUAAAUUCAAUUUUUUUUCUACUGUUUGUUUCUCACAAA